CGCCCCGCCCCGCCCCGCCUGCCCCUCCGCGCGGCUCCCGGGCGACCGGCGCUCCCGCCUCCCGCCUUUCCCGCUGCUUGCCGGGUCCCGGCCCGGCGACGCGCGCUCACACCCUCCUCCCGAGCCGCCCUCACGCCGAGCGCUGCGGACGGGGGCGCGCAACCUGCCGCCGGCCGGGACCCUGCGGCGAGUGCCGGAACCCGGCCGGGCGGGGCCUCCCGCGGCCCGGCCGCUUUAUUGGGUCACCGGCCUCGCCCACCGCCCUGCCAGCCGCAGCCAUCUCGGCGGGCGCGCCGCUCGCAGCCAGCGCCCCAUCCCCAGGCCUGCACGUACGUCGUCGGCGAUCCGGGGCCGGGGGCGGCUCCGAGGUCGUCGGGGCCGGGGUCCCACCUCCUCUUGGAGGAAGCGCCGCCUCCCCACCCGCCCGGGGCCCUCGCCAAGUGGCUGCUAACAAAGCCCAGGGCCCGGCUGCGGGAUGGUUGACUGACAAAGUCAUGCCUGCCUAGCCAGCUUCCUCGUGCAGCACGGUGAAGGCUGGGGCGCCGGGUUUUUACUCCCACGUCCUGCCAACUCGAGCUGACAAGGCGGGCAAUCCACCAGCGGGAGCGUUGGCAGGCCCGGGGUCAGAUCCUGAUUCAGCCAGUUAAUUGGUAGGAGUGGGGCCCAUUUGUAGAAUGAAGGUGAUAACUGCCUCGUGGGGUUAUUGGCAUUAAAUGAAGAAUGUAGGGAACCUAGCAUGGUUCUUGAUGUCUAGGAGGUGCUCGGUGAAGGGUGCCUAUGAUUCGCUUUGUCUUCUAAAUACUUUUGGCAGCACUUGAGGUGUUAAAGUCUGUAUCCCAGACUUUAUUAGUCUUGUUGUUUUACGUGACUUAAGCGAUUAGCUCAAACGCCCAAGUACAAAAUGGGGCUAAACCCAGGUUUUCCGACACGAUUCUACCUCCAUGGCUCUAUCUCCAGCUCCACCCAAGGCCUCCAAAAUGGUGUUCUCCUAAAGUGACCAACAAAACACCAAGCUGUGUCAUGGUGCCACUUUGGCGAUGUGGUCUCUUAGGAGAGGGAAUUCUAAGUAGUUAAUUAGCUUGUUCCUUUCUACGUUGUAGUCUUGACCAAGGACAAUGUGUUGGCAUUUAAUGCCACUGAAGAUUUAAGAGACUAAGGAAUCAGAUCCUCUGAGAUUCCUAAAUCUGUGUAAUAAAAUGGGUUCUACACAUAGCUAUUCCAAAAAAUUCAGUCAGAUAUUACUAACAAGAUAGACAGAUUAUAAUCUGUAUGAAAUUUCUAGGAGUAAUAAAAAUCAGAAUAGACCCCGUAACCCCGAGUAUGUGUCUAAUUUUCUCAACUAUAAAAUAAUUAAAACUAAAGGCCUUUCUCUUCCUCCCUUGGUGAAUGCCCUUAUGUGAAUUCAGCUGACACACUCAGAAUGACAAAGGAGUUAGAAAUUCACAUCAACAGCAAUUGGUCCCAACUGACUCAAACCAUGAGACUUCUGCCCUGCUAAGAUACCUUGAGCUGAACACUGCCCCGAGAAUGCAACAGAACUUCAGCUCUGUCCCAAGGUCGUCAGCCACAGCUCCAAGUUUCUUAGCAUCAGCUUUUUCUGAACAAAAUAGUGCAUCCUGCUGGAAUCACUACUGUAAACUGAGUAUAAAGGAAAAUAAACCCUCUUUUUCUUAUCCACUAUGUUCCCUACUCCCGUGCUUUUCCCAGUGCUCCAGGUUAGUAGAGGCAAAAGAAUUCCCCACUGAUGAGGUACUACAUCCUACACAAUUUGUUCCACACAUUUUAAUUUCAUUAAGAGAAAACAAAGAUGUUUAAACAGUGAGCACUAAAUGGAUUAGAGUGGCAGUAGUAAAUUUCCUUUGUGCCUUUCUCUUAGAAUUUAGAAAGCUUUAGUUGCAAUCCC
rnacentral:lncRNA from 10 species